UGGGGAAUUUUGGGCAAUGGCCGAAAGGCUGACCCAGCGACGCCGCGUGCGGGAGGACGCCCUUCGGGGUGUAAACCGCUGUCAGGGGGGACGAAUGGCGGGGGAGGGAAUAUUUCUCCCGCGUGACGGUACCCCCAAAGGAAGCGCCGGCUAACUCUGUGCCAGCAGCCGCGGUAAGACAGAGGGCGCGAGCGUUGUUCGGAAUCACUGGGCGUAAAGCGCGCGCAGGCGGAAGUGCAAGUCUGGUGUGAAAUCCCGCCGCUCAACGGCGGGGCUGCUUCGGAUACUGCACCUCUGGGGACCGGUAGAGGCUGGUAGAAUUGCUGGUGUAGCGGUGGAAUGCGUAGAGAUCAGCAAGAAUACCCGUGGCGAAGGCGGCCAGCUGGGCCGGAUCCGACGCUGAGGCGCGAAAGCGUGGGGAGCAAACAGG
rnacentral:rRNA from 1 species